UCAGACUUCCAUUUUAGAGAUCGAAAAUUAUGCCGAAUAGGCCACCGCCUUCGGAAUUGGGAUCUACUAACCGGCCUGUUGAAUCCACCAAAAAGGCGUUUCAAUUCUUCAGAGAAUCUGAGCCCCAACUUGAACAGCCCAUUGGAAAAUUAGCGACCAAGUUGCGAGAAGGGACCAUGGUCCUUGGGGGAGACUCGAAGCAUCUUCUUUGCCAAAUGUAGGAGAGUGCUUAUGCGUAGCCUGACGAUGAGCGGUGACAGACGCAGUAUUCUGGUUCUCCAGGGACAGGGUGGCGGUGGCGGUGGCGGUGACGUAAUGCAAACGACAUAGAUCUAUUCAGAAAACUGGGUAACUCACCUGGACAAGCGGAAGAUAAGUCGUGGCAAUCUUUUGUUAUGGUACCCAAAGACAAUUGGUAUAUUGCAAAGGCACGUGUCCCUUUCCUCAAGCUUCUAUUCUUAAAAACACAAUAUUACUGAUUACAGACUUAGCUCUCUCUCAUACUGAGCUUUAGAUUCUUUAUAUGAUGUAAAAAUAGAUGCUUACGACCAUUACAUGGGUAAACUAAGUGCAAUUAGGACCAUAUUAGUUGUAAAUUUUCUUAAUAAAUGAGCUAUUCGAUUAUUAAAUUUUCUUUUAUAGAACAAUUAAUUUACAACUGAUAGAUGCACAAGAAUCGAUAUCAUGGUUCACCUUCA